AUCUGUACUCUUUGGUUACAGUUGUUCAACCAGUUACUAAUCUAGCUAAUUGUAACCAGUCGAACAACUGAACCCAAAGGGUGCAAGGUAGAAACCUU
ensembl:miRNA MIR582 microRNA 582